GACGAACGCUGGCGGCGUGCUUAACACAUGCAAGUCGAACGGUAAGGCCCUUCGGGGUACACGAGUGGCGAACGGGUGAGUAACACAUGGGUGAUCUGCCCUGCACCUCGGGAUAAGCCUGGGAAACUGGGUCUAAUACCGGAUAGGACUACUGGCUCCAUGGUUGGGGGGGGACAGCUUUUGCGGUGUGGGAUGGGCCCGCGGCCUAUCAGCUUGUUGGUGGGGUAAUGGCCUACCAAGGCGACGACGGGUAGCCGGCCUGAGAGGGUGACCGGUCACACUGGGACUGAGAUACGGCCCAGACUCCUACGGGAGGCAGCAGUGGGGAAUAUUGCACAAUGGGCGCAAGCCUGAUGCAGCGACGCCGCGUGAGGGAUGACGGCCUUCGGGUUGUAAACCUCUUUCAGCUAUGACGAAGCGCAAGUGACGGUAGUAGCAGAAGAAGGACCGGCCAACUACGUGCCAGCCGCCGCGGUAA
rnacentral:rRNA from 1 species